UACGUAGGUGGCAAGCGUUGUCCGGAAUUAUUGGGCGUAAAGCGCGCGCAGGCGGUUUCUUAAGUCUGAUGUGAAAUCCCACGGCUUAACCGUGGAAGGUCAUUGGAAACUGGGAGACUUGAGUGCAGAAGAGAAGAGCGGAAUUCCACGUGUAGCGGUGAAAUGCGUAGAGAUGUGGAGGAACACCAGUGGCGAAGGCGGCUCUUUGGUCUGUAACUGACGCUGAGGCGCGAAAGCGUGGGGAUCAAACAGG
rnacentral:rRNA from 1 species